AUCGCUUCUCGGCCUUUAGGCUAAGAUCAAGUGUAGUAUCUUCUUAUCAGUUUAAUAUCUGAUACAUCCUCUAUCCGAGGACAAUAUGUUAAAUGGAUUUUUGGAGCAGGGAGAUGGAAUAGGAGCUUGCUCCGUCCACUCCACACAUUGACCUAGUAUUGCAGUACUUCCAGGAACGGUGCACAAAAA
rnacentral:snRNA from 1 species